CCUACGGGCGGCAGCAGUAGGGAAUCUUUCACAAUGGGCGAAAGCCUGAUGGAGCAACGCCGCGUGCAGGAUGAAGGCCUUCGGGUUGUAAACUGCUUUUAUAAGCGAGAAAUAUGAUGGUAACUUAUGAAUAAGGAUCGGCUAACUACGUGCCAGCAGCCGCGGUCAUACGUAGGAUCCGAGCAUUAUCCGGAGUGACUGGGUGUAAAGAGUUGCGUAGGUGGCAUAAUAAGUAGCUAGUGAAAUCUGGUGGCUCAACCAAUCAGACUAUUAGCUAAACUGUUAAGCUCGAGACCGUUAGGGGUAACUGGAAUUGCUAGUGUAGGAGUGAAAUCCGUAGAUAUUAGAAGGAACACCAAUAGCGUAGGCAGGUUGCUGGGACGGUUCUGACACUAAGGCACGAAAGCGUAGGGAGCAAACGGGAUUAGAGACCCGAGUAGUC
rnacentral:rRNA from 1 species